GAUGAACGCUGGCGGCGUGCUUAAUACAUGCAAGUCGAGCGAAGCGGGGACGGGUGAGUAACACGUGGACAACCUCCUAUAAGACAGGGAUAACUCCGGGAAACCGGAGCUAAACCGGAUAUUUAUAGAUGGAUACUCGCUGCAUUAGCUAGUUGGUCAGGUUACGGCUUAUCAAGGCAACGAUGGAUAGUCGACCUGAGAGGGUGAUCGGGCCCACUGGAACGGAGACACGGUCCCAACGCCUACGGGAGGCAGCAGUGGGGAAUCUUCCGCGAUGGGCGAAAGCCUGACGGAGAAACGCCGCGAGAGUGAUCGAGGUCUUCGGAUCGAAAGACUCUGUUAUUCGGGAAGCGGUACCUGUUCAGAAAGCCACGGCUAACUACGUGCCAGCAGCCGCGGUAAUAC
rnacentral:rRNA from 1 species